UGUCUUCGGGGCAGGGUGAGAUUCCCUACCGGCAGUUACAGUCUGCGAGCGGGUUUUUUAUAAACCUGUUGAUUCGGUGAAAUUCCGGAACCGACGGUUAAAGUCCGGAUGAGAGAAGAU
rnacentral:ncRNA from 1 species